GACGAACCGUGCGAACGUUGUUCGGAAUCACUGGGCUUAAAGGGCGCGUAGGCGGGCUGUCAAGUCUGGGGUGAAAUGCCGCGGCUCAACCGUGGAACUGCCUUAGAUACUGACGGCCUCGAGCGAGGUAGGGGCAGCUGGAACUUCCGGUGGAGCGGUGAAAUGCGUAGAUAUCAGGAGGAAUACCGGUGGCGAAAGCGACUCUCUGGACGGCAACUGACGCUGAGGCACGAAAGCGUGGGGAGCAAAAGGG
rnacentral:rRNA from 1 species